GAUGAACGCUGGCGGCGUGCCUAAUACAUGCAAGUCGAGCGAACGGACGAGAAGCUUGCGUCUCUGAUGUUAGCGGCGGACGGGUGAGUAACACGUGGAUAACCUACCUAUAAGACUGGGAUAACUUCGGGAAACCGGAGCUAAUACCGGAUGAUAUUUUGAACCGCAUGGUUCAAAAGUGAAAGACGGUCUUGCCGUCACUUAUAGAUGGAUCCGCGCUGCAUUAGCGAGUUGGUAAGGUAACGCCUUACCAAGGCAACGAUGCAUAGCCGACCUGAGAGGGUGAUCGGCCACACUGGAGCUGAGACACGGUCCAGACUACUACGGGAGGCAGCAGUAGGGAAUCUUCCCCAAUGGGCGAAAGCCUGGCGGAGCAACGCCGCGUGAGUGAUGAAGGUCUUCGGAUCGUAAAACUCUGUUAUUGGGAAAGAACAUCUGUAUAAGAAACUGUGCACAUCUUGACGGUACCUAAUCAGAAAGCCACGGCUAACUACGUG
rnacentral:rRNA from 1 species